UACGGGGGGGGCUAGCGUUGUUCGGAAUUACUGGGCGUAAAGGGCGCGCAGGCGGCCGCUCAAGUCAGGCGUGAAAGCCCCGGGCUUAACCUGGGAACUGCGUCUGGGACUGAGUGGCUAGAGUUCGGGAGAGGAGAGUGGAAUUCCCAGUGUAGAGGUGAAAUUCGUAGAUAUUGGGAAGAACACCGGUGGCGAAGGCGGCUCUCUGGACCGAGACUGACGCUGAGGCGCGAAAGCGUGGGGAGCAAACAGG
rnacentral:rRNA from 1 species